rnacentral:lncRNA from 1 species
AAACUGACUACUGAUGAGUGAGCCCUCGCAGUGCCUAUGAUUUCCAGGCAGGAUAGAAUCAUCUUUAUAUUACUUGUGUCCUGUCUCAGGGAGAACUUGCAGAAGCAAAUAGCUCUCCCCUUAUACCCAUGGUCCUUCUCUGAAAUAUUGCACUAAAAGUCUUGUGAGGUUCACCAUUAAAUUGUUUCAUGUGUGAUUCUAAUGUCUCCAGAUAGAAUGUAUACACCCUAAGACGAGAGUCUGCAUCUUCCAAUCUGGUGUUUCCUCGUGGCAUACAAUUGAGUGCAGAACCAAGACUGAAGACCCCAGGUCGCCACUCUGUCUCAGCCUAGGUUUCUUGCUCCAAGGACCAGAGGAGUUGGAUUUGAAGUGUCUCAAAGAAUGCUCAGGCACAAAACUAUUGCUAGGCCCUUGGAGCGUCACAUUUGAACUGACAAUAAAUGCCACAUCUUGGAGAUGUUCUUGGAAGAAUGAAAAUUUCCAAUGGUGGUGCUUAUGGAUUUCAAAGCGUCUUAGUCAGGAGACAAGCCAUUGGCCUUCAGGUAUGAUGCUCAUUUUGUCAUCCUGCGAGGCUCACAGAGACCUAAAGCGUGGAACACAUCUCAACAUGUACUGAAUAAGUUGGAAAAGGGGAGGACCAAACUGGAAGUGUUGGACUGGUUUGCAGGUGACAUGUACCUUUACCAAUUCAUUUCUCUGAGUACUAAUUUUCUCCAGCUAAUGGGGGCAGGAUGUAUUGAUGUCUGAGAAAGCAAAUCCCCCCAUGCUCCAGCCUGCCUUUUGUUCUGUAGGACAAAUGUUUUGCAUAACAAAAGUGUUUUAUGUAUUAACCAGUAUCUAUUUGUAAAAAUAGGAUAUAAUGAAAUGAACAUAUAUCUUGGAAGUAACAGAUCCUAGGUUUAAAUCGAAUCUCUACCAUAGCCUAUGAUCUUAAAAAAUACUUAACUUCUCUGCACCUCAUUUUCUCUUCUUAAAUACAGGGUAACAAUAUUUACCUCAUGGUAUGCUUAAAUGAAAUAAUGCAUGUCACUAGCCUGGUCUGUAUGUAAGGUAGGAAAUAAGUAAUAAAGUCUCUAAAACCUAAGGAUUCUAAGAUGCC